AAAACCUGAGGUAAAAAGUUGUUCAUGUUUGUUACAUAUUAUGAUUAUUGAAAACCUGAGGUAAAGUGUUUCAAUUAGCAGUAACAUAUUAUGAUUAUUGAAAACCUGAGGUAAAUGUUAAUUUAAGUUAGCAAUGUUAAAUGUUAGGACUAUUGAAACCCUGAGGUCAAAUGUUGUUUAAAUUAGCAAUGUUAUAUAUAAGGACUAUUAAAUCCCUGAGGUAAAAUGUUAUUUAAAUUAGCAGUUAUAUAUUAGGACUAUUGAAACCCUGAGGUCAAAUGUUGUUUAAAUUAGCAAUGGUAUAUAUUAGGACUAUUGAAAUCCUGAGGUAAAAUGUCGCUUAAAUGAGCAGUUAUAUAUUAGGACUAUUGAAACCCUUAGGUAAAAUGUUGUUUAAAUUAGCAGUGUUGUAUAUUGGGACUAUUGAACCCCUGAGGUAAAAUGUCGCUUAAAUUAGCAGUGUUGUAUAUUGGGACUAUUGAAACCUGAGGUAAAAUGUUGUUUAAAAUUAG
ensembl:lncRNA